rnacentral:tRNA from 1 species
GGAAGAUUGGCAGAGUGGUCGAAUGCACUGCACUUGAAAUGCAGCGUACUGCAAGGUACCGGGGGUUCGAAUCCCUCAUCUUCCG